UACGUAGGGGGCAAGCGUUGUCCGGACUUACUGGGCGUAAAGCGCGCGCAGGCGGACCUGUAUGUGCCGUGUGAAAGCGCCGGACUUACUUCGGCGAGGUCAUGGUAGACAGCAGGUCUGGAGCCUCGGAGAGGUCGGUGGAAUUCCGGGUGGAGCGGUGAAAUGCGUAGAGAUCCGGAGGAACACCAGGGGCGAAGGCGCCACUCUGGGCCGAAACUGACGCUGAGGAGCGAAAGCGUGGGUAGCAAACAGG
rnacentral:rRNA from 1 species